rnacentral:rRNA from 1 species
AUACGGAGGAUGCGAGCGUUAUCCGGAUUUAUUGGGUUUAAAGGGUGCGUAGGCUGUGCGUUAAGUCAGGGGUGAAAUGCCGUCGCUCAACGACGGAGCUGCCCUUGAUACUGGCGUGCUGGAGUACGGAUGCCGUUGGAGGAAUGAAUGGUGUAGCGGUGAAAUGCUUAGAUAUCACUCAGAACACCGAUUGCGAAGGCAUCUGACGAAUCCGUCACUGACGCUGAGGCACGAAAGCGUGGGGAUAGAACAGGAUUAGAUGCCCUGGUAUGCCACGCCGUAAACGAUGAUGACUAACCGUCGGCGAUAGACAGCCGGUGGCCAAGCGAAAGCGAUAAGUCAUCCACCUGGGGAGUACGUCGGCAACGAUGAAACUCAAAGGAAUUGACGGGG